UACGGAGGGUGCAAACGUUGCUCGGAAUCAUUGGGCGUAAAGCGCACGUAGGUGGCCUGUUAAGUCGGGUGUGAAAUCCCUGGGCUCAACCCAGGAAGUGCACUCGAAACUGGCGGGCUUGAGUACUGAAGAGGGUCGCGGAAUUCCCGGUGUAGAGGUGAAAUUCGUAGAUAUUCGGAGGAACACCAGUGGCGAAGGCGGCUCACUGGUCCAUUACUGACGCUGAGGUGCGAAAGCGUGGGGAGCAAACAGG
rnacentral:rRNA from 1 species